rnacentral:rRNA from 1 species
GCCCAGUGAUAAAUUUAACGGCCGCGGUACCCUAACCGUGCAAAGGUAGCAUAAUCACUUGUUCUUUAAAUAAGGACUUGUAUCAACGGCAUCACGAGGGUUCUACUGUCUCCUCUCUCCAAUCAGUGAAACUGAUCUCCCCAUGAAAAAGUGGGGAUAAACUUAUAAGACGAGAAGACCCCAUGGAGCUUUAAAACCUAUAGCAACCUAGCAAACACUUCCAUCUAGCUAUAAAAUAAUGCUCAAGGACUUUAGGUUGGGAGGACCACGGAGCACAAAAUAACCUCCGUAAUGAAAAGAAUAAGAUCUUUACCAAAGAGCCACAACUCUAAGAAUUAGAAAACUAACGUACAUGACCCGAUAUCGAUCAAUGAACUAAGUUACCCUGGGGAUAACAGCGCAAUCCACUCUGAGAGUUCAUAUCGACGAGCGGGCUUACGACCUCGAUGUUGGAUCAGGGUAUCCUGGUGGUGCAGCCGCUACCGAAGGUUCGUUUGUUCAACGAUUAAAACCCUACGUGAUCUGAGUUCAGAC